CCGGGCUGGCGUCGCCUGGAUGUAGUUUAUUCCGGGAUUUGUAGUUUUUCUGGAGCUACCUGGGCCGUCCGUCAGAGGGACAAGAACUACAAGUCUCGGCGGCCCCAGCGCUACGAGCCCGAUCACGUGGCGAGGGCCGACCGGGCGUGCGUGCCGCCGUUGAUCCGGUGCUGCAGUGAGGAGGUGGUUCUUGCCCGUGUUGUGUGUGUGUGUGUGUGUGUGUGAGUGAGAGAGAGAGUGAGUGAGUGAGUGAGUGUGUGUGUGGGGGGGACUCGGCUUGUUGUUGUCGGUGACUUCCCCCUCCCCUCCACCCCUUCCCCUCCCUGCCGCCGCUGCAGUGGCCGCUCCCUGGGCCGUAGGAAAUGAGCGAUAACGAUGACAUCGAGGUGGAGAGCGACGAAGAGCAACCGAGGUUUCAAUCUGCGGCUGACAAACGGGCUCAUCAUAAUGCACUGGAACGAAAACGUAGGGACCACAUCAAAGACAGCUUUCACAGUUUGCGGGACUCAGUCCCAUCACUCCAAGGAGAGAAGGCAUCCCGGGCCCAAAUCCUAGACAAAGCCACAGAGUAUAUCCAGUAUAUGCGAAGGAAAAACCACACACACCAGCAAGAUAUUGACGACCUCAAGCGGCAGAAUGCUCUUCUGGAGCAGCAAGGGGAAAGCGAGAGCUGAUCAAGUUCUUUGUUCCUGGGGAAUUCACUUCUCUUCCUCCCUCAUGGAAGAUGCAAGUAAAAGGAAAUUCCGUGCACUGGAGAAGGCGAGGUCAAGUGCCCAACUGCAGACCAACUACCCCUCCUCAGACAACAGCCUCUACACCAACGCCAAGGGCAGCACCAUCUCUGCCUUCGAUGGGGGCUCAGACUCCAGCUCAGAGUCUGAGCCUGAGGAGCCCCAAAGCAGGAAGAAGCUCCGGAUGGAGGCCAGCUAAGCCCCUCGGGGCAGGCCAGCAAUAAAAACUGUCUCCAUCGUCUCCUCCUCCUUUCAGUUCAUCUGUAGAACCCUCAGAACCAUUUAAGAGACUGUAUUUUUCUCUUUCUCCCUUUUUUUUUUAAAUUUUUAUUUUCAUGUAGAAGCUCUUGGACAACAGCUCUCGUUCUCCUUCCCCAUUUCCACUGUGUAUUUUUUUUUUAAUGUAUUCCCUUCAGGGAUUCCCUGUCCCCACCAGGAAUUUUUAAACCAAAACACCCCAACUUGGCAGCUUUUUCUGUGGAGGACAGACGGCCGGCCGGACCUCUGAGCCCAUAGUAUCCUGCCCACCCUACCAGCUCCUCCAGCCCUGCCGGGCACAUACCCGGAGGAUGCCUUGCCUGCCCAGGUGGCCUCCUGGUCCGCCCUCACCUCUGUUGGAUAGACUGUGAAUCUGUGAACUGCUCUACUUUGAGAAGAUGACCAGUUUGGAGUAAUCAGAAUUAACCCUCCUCCUUUUUAAGGUUGUUUUUUUCCUUUUUCUAAAAAGCUAUGUAUUGCUCCUAUUGAAAGAGCAGAUCCUUAAAGAAGUUUGUGGUAUGAAAAGAAAGUGGGGACAGAGUCGCAGCACAGAGUCUUCGGCAUGUUUCACUCCUGCCUCUCUCAGCCAGCUGUUUAGGCCUGCGGUGCCAGCCUCACGGAGGGCUGCAUGGAUUCUUGUGGUAUGCGUGGGAGAUAGCAGCAGUGAAGCAGCAGCCACCAGGGAGUGGCCAUUUGGGGUUGGGACAGGGAGGAUGUUUUGGGUGGCAUAGAGGUUUUGUAUUGAGGGCCAGUGAUGAUGAUUUGAUAUUUAUUUCCUGCUACUUAAAUUUGAAUCUGAGUGAAUUGUUCCUAUUUCUGAUGAUGUCGGUCUUGCAAAGCGACAGAUUCAUAAAGUAAUGAUGAAAUCUUCCUUUCUUCCCGUGUGUAUUUCUAAGAAAUAGAGCCAACUGAUUUUGUAUGUAAAUACCAAGAGCAAUUUACCUGGUACUAAACCCGCACCCCAGUGCGGACCCUUCCCUGCCCUCACCCCACUUCCUUUCCUGCAGUCCUGAAACCUGUCUCCUUUGUGUGAUCCAGCCCUGGCUCUGGCUGUGGUCAGCAGAUCCCAGUGAAGGGUUUUGUGUGUUUAGGCCUCAUUUCUUUGUCUUUUUCCUACUCCGUUCCUGGCAUUUGCUGAUUUCUAGUGUAUACUCUGUAGUCUCAGUUCGUGUUUGAUUCCAUUCCAUGGAAAUAAAAAGUAUGUUGUACAUACUGCCGAAGAAUUGUCUUGCAAGUUAAGGCUUCCCCCUUUACUAUAAGACUAUAAAUAAAAACUUAUUUUAUCCUUC